GUCAGUUUCACUCAUGAAAAAAUAAGAAGUCAAUAGCUGCUGUAUGCUGCUGCCAAUCCUUCUAAAGUGUAGCCAAACUGCCUUCUUAUAAGGCCAGAUUCUCAUUUCCUGAAAUUCCCUUCACCGACCUUCUGAUACAUAACAAGUUUUCCAAGACAUGAUAAUGGAUAGAGAUUGAGUCUCUAUUGAUUACCAGGAAGAACAUCUCAAAAUGCAAUAAUCUGAUCCUCAAGAUCUAACUCACUUAAUAUGCACAAACACAAACAAACAUUGGAAUAGGGAACUCUGAGAGCAAUAUGGUUAAUUAAAUCAGAAUCCAAGUUCUUUUUCUGCUUCUCCUACUGGACACAGAGAUUUAAAUAGUCAGUGUCGGUUAUGGAAGCUUUUGCAGUAGAAAUUCAGAAGCGUGUCAUUUGUGGCAGAUGAUAGUUUAUCUUCCAAGCUGAGACAAUGUGGAAUUGAG